AUUGAACGCUGGCGGCAGGCCUAACACAUGCGAGUCGAGCGGAUGAAGGGAGCUUGCUCCUGGAUUCAGCGGCGGACGGGUGAGUAAUGCCUAGGAAUCUGCCUGGUAGUGGGGGAUAACGUCCGGAAACGGGCGCUAAUACCGCAUACGUCCUGAGGGAGAAAGUGGGGGAUCUUCGGACCUCACGCUAUCAGAUGAGCCUAGGUCGGAUUAGCUAGUUGGUGGGGUAAAGGCCUACCAAGGCCACGAUCCGUAACUGGUCUGAGAGGAUGAUCAGUCACACUGGAACUGAGACACGGUCCAGACUCCUACGGGAGGCAGCAGUGGGGAAUAUUGGACAAUGGGCGAAAGCCUGAUCCAGCCAUGCCGCGUGUGUGAAGAAGGUCUUCGGAUUGUAAAGCACUUUAAGUUGGGAGGAAGGGCAGUAAGUUAAUACCUUGCUGUUUUGACGUUACCAACAGAAUAAGCACCGGCUAACUUCGUG
rnacentral:rRNA from 1 species